GAUGAACGCCGGCGGUGUGCCUAAUACAUGCAAGUCGUACGAGAGAGAGGAAGCUUGCUUCCUUAAUCGAGUGGCGAACGGGUGAGUAACGCGUGAGGAACCUGCCUCAAAGAGGGGGACAACAGUUGGAAACGACUGCUAAUACCGCAUAAGACCACAGCACCGCAUGGUGCAGGGGUAAAAACUCCGGUGGUAUGAGAUGGACCCGCGUCUGAUUAGGUAGUUGGUGGGGUAACGGCCUACCAAGCCGACGAUCAGUAGCCGACCUGAGAGGGUGACCGGCCACAUUGGGACUGAGACACGGCUCAA
rnacentral:rRNA from 1 species